rnacentral:tRNA from 1 species
GGUUAUGGCUCAGAGGUAGAACAUUCGCCUAGCACGUGUGAGGCCCUGGGUUCAAUCCUCAGCACCA